AUCAGUCAUCUUGAUGGCAUCAACAUCCCUAAUGGCAAGUUCGACCUGGGAGAUGUUGACUAUGCAUAUCGGCCAGGUGUUCUUCCACCCUUCAGGAAAACCAGGUACCAUAUGAACUUCUCUGGUGGAAACUAUCCUAGGACUGCUCAGGAACUGUUCGAUCUCAGACACUCCAGCCUUGGAGUAACUGUUGAGAGGGCAGUUGGAUCUCUGAAGAACAUGUUUAAGAUCCUGGAUCAGAAGCCAUUCCACCCUUAACCUACCUAGGUCAAGCUUGUUCUUGAAUGUUGCAUUAUGCAUAACUGGAUCCUGCUGCAAUGGGGAAUUGAUAAACUUGUUCCCGAGGAGGAAGAGGUGACGCCUGACGAUCUUGACCUCGGUGGCUAUGGUGUUGAGGCAUUUGACAAUGAAGCCUGGAAGAAUAAGAGGCUGGAGUGGGCACAUGCAAUGUGUGAUAACAGAGACCAGACAAGGAUCAACAAAAGAAGAAGAAGAAGAGCAAGAGCAGCAGCAGAAGAGGAAGACGAAGAGGAACAACAUCAACAACAGAGGUAA
rnacentral:rRNA from 1 species